UUACGGCCACACCACGUUGAAACACCGGUCUCCGUAUGAUUACCGAGGUUAAGCAACAUCGAGCCUGGUCAGUAUCUAGAUGAGUGACCGCUUGGAAAUACCAGAAAUUGUA